AACGAACGCUGGCGGCAGGCUUAACACAUGCAAGUCGAGCGCCCCGCAAGGGGAGCGGCAGACGGGUGAGUAACGCGUGGGAAUCUACCCAUCUCUACGGAAUAACGCAUGGAAACGUGUGCUAAUACCGUAUACGUCCUUCGGGAGAAAGAUUUAUCGGAGAUGGAUGAGCCCGCGUUGGAUUAGCUAGUUGGUGGGGUAAAGGCCUACCAAGGCGACGAUCCAUAGCUGGUCUGAGAGGAUGAUCAGCCACACUGGGACUGAGACACGGCCCAGACUCCUACGGGAGGCAGCAGUAGGGAAUAUUGGACAAUGGGCGCAAGCCUGAUCCAGCCAUGCCGCGUGAGUGAUGAAGGCCCUAGGGUUGUAAAGCUCCUUCACCGGUGAAGAUAAUGACGGUAACCGGAGAAGAAGCCCCGGCUAACUUCGUGCCAGCAGCCGCGGUAAUAC
rnacentral:rRNA from 1 species